rnacentral:lncRNA from 1 species
AGCAAGGAAAGUUAGUCUGUAUAGUUGAAGCCAGAUUGUGAAUUAUGUCUAAACAGGGCCCUUUUUCAUACAUGACCGAGAAAAUGGGACAUGCCUGCUAAGCAUGGUCCUCAAUACAUGAUGGUAGAUGCAAGGGCAGGUCCGCUUUUUAAUCAGUAUGAAAACUGUAUUGAACCACUACAUGCUUAAAAUCCUAAUUAAUGUUAAUUUGUCUAAAUCAAGUAUUUAUUGUUAAAUUAUCCAAUUAUAAACUAUAUGAUUACUUAAUGUUAAUACUUAUCAAUUUAUUAAUCAUUAUUAGUUCAUCCCAAAUAAUUGUUUCUUUACAUUUCUUAAAUCGUUCAUGCCAAUGACUCUUUAUACAUUGUAUCGAUUAGAAAUUCAUUAAAGAUUUAAGUAACAGACACAGUGGUGUUUUACUCUGUGUGAUUAAAUGUUGUUUCACAGAUCCAGAGAGGAAUUGGUAUUACACCUUAUUUUGAUGACUUAACGGAGUCUUCAGAUGCAGCUACAGAGGAUAAUGUAUUGUCUGUCACAAAAGAAGCUGUGAUGUUGGUGGAACAACUUAAGUUGGAUAAUAAAGAUUCUGUAAGCAUCCUAAAACUUCAAAAUAUUUUCCGUCAAUAUGAACGCUUAAUUGAAUGUGAAAAGAGACGCUAUAUUCAUAUCUUUGAGAAAGUUAAAAAACUUGAGAAUGAGAAAAAAGAGCAGGAGCAAAUACUGGAAGAAAUGAGAAACAUGAAAUCUGUGCUGAAUCAACAACAACUAAAAUGGGAAAGUGAUAUCAGCAACCUCAAGUAAGAACUCUAUUCUGGUACAGGAUUUACAGCUUUUUUGAAAAAUGAGAAAGUACGGAAGGCGAAGUGAUUCAGAAAUGUUGACUCUUUGCUAUUAAAAUAUAGAAAGUAGUGUUACGCAGAAAAGAGCUGGCUGGCUACAGUAAUUCGGACAAGUGAUUUGAGUUGAGAUAGAUAUAACCAAAUAGUAUGAUUCUGUGUUUGGUUAUAUGGUUAGAGCUGUACAAGAGCUGUCUACUUUAAAUCACAAACAUCUCCACAAUUACUUGCACUCAAAUGAGGUUACCAGAUAGCAAUUUGAUACCUGGUCUCUGCCAAAUGUUCAGAUCUUGACUAUGACUGAUCUGCAGGUAUCGUCUUCACCUUUCCACCUCACAAAUAUGUUUCACUCUC